rnacentral:rRNA from 1 species
GACGAACGCUGGCGGCGUGCUUAACACAUGCCAGUCGAACGGAAAGGCCCUGCUUUUGUGGGGUGCUCGAGUGGCGAACGGGUGAGUAACACGUGAGUAACCUGCCCUUGACUUUGGGAUAACUUCAGGAAACUGGGGCUAAUACCGGAUAGGAGCUCCUGCUGCAUGGUGGGGGUUGGAAAGUUUCGGCGGUUGGGGAUGGACUCGCGGCUUAUCAGCUUGUUGGUGGGGUAGUGGCUUACCAAGGCUUUGAUGGGUAGCCGGCCUGAGAGGGUGACCGGCCACAUUGGGACUGAGAUACGGCCCAGACUCCUACGGGAGGCAGCAGUGGGGAAUAUUGCACAAUGGGCGGAAGCCUGAUGCAGCAACGCCGCGUGCGGGAUGACGGCCUUCGGGUUGUAAACCGCUUUCGCCUGUGACGAAGCGUGAGUGACGGUAAUGGGUAAAGAAGCAACGGCUAACUACGUG